AAACAAAAAAAGAAAAAUGGCCAGAAAACCGUUGCUGUUUUCCUCCGCGCCAUUUUCCAUUUUUCUUCCAUACUUUUUAAUUCGUUCUCAUCUCCCAA
rnacentral:ribozyme from 1 species